rnacentral:rRNA from 1 species
AGGACGAACGCUGGCGGCGUGCUUAACACAUGCAAGUGGAGCGACGAACCGGGGCUUGCCCCGGGGCAGAGCCGCGAACGGGUGAGUAACACGUGGGUUACCUGCCUCAAUGACCGGGACAACCCGAGGAAACUCGGGCUAAUACCGGAUGUGCCCGCAAGGGGAAAGGAAGCUUCGGCCUCCGCAUUGAGAUGGGCCCGCGGCCCAUUAGCUUGUUGGUGAGGUAACGGCUCACCAAGGCUUCGAUGGGUAGCUGGUCUGAGAGGACGAUCAGCCACACUGGGACUGAGACACGGCCCAGACUCCUACGGGAGGCAGCAGUGGGGAAUCUUGCGCAAUGCGCGAAAGCGUGACGCAGCAACGCCGCGUGGGGGAAGAAGGCUUUCGGGUUGUAAACCCCUUUCAGUUGGGACGAGACUUCUUCGGUGAAUAGCCGAAUGGAGUGACGGUACCUUCACAAGAGCACCGGCUAACUACGUGCCAGCAGCCGC